rnacentral:rRNA from 1 species
AUGUUGCUCUCGGCCUCGGUGAACUCCAUCUCGUCCAUGCCCUCGCCCGUGUACCAGUGCAGGAACGCCUUGCGCCGGAACAUGGCCGUGAACUGCUCGCUCACGCGCCGGAACAUCUCCUGGAUGGACGUCGAGUUGCCGAUGAAGGUGGAGGCCAUCGUGAGGCCCGUGGGCGGGAUGUCGCACACCGUCGACUUUACGUUGUUGGGGAUCCACUCCACGAAGUAG